UACGUAGGGCGCAAGCGUUAUCCGGAAUUAUUGGGCGUAAAGAGCUCGUAGGCGGUUUGUCGCGUCUGCCGUGAAAGUCCGGGCUCAACUCCGGAUCUGCGGUGGGUACGGGCAGACUAGAGUGAUGUAGGGGGAGACUGGAAUUCCUGGUGUAGCGGUGAAAUGCGCAGAUAUCAGGAGGAACACCGAUGGCGAAGGCAGGUCUCUGGGCCAUAACUGACGCUGAGGAGCGAAAGCAUGGGGAGCGAACAGG
rnacentral:rRNA from 1 species